GACGAACGCUGGCGGCGUGCCUAAUACAUGCAAGUAGAACGCACAGUUUAUACCGUAGCUUGCUACACCAUAGACUGUGAGUUGCGAACGGGUGAGUAACGCGUAGGUAACCUGCCUGGUAGCGGGGGAUAACUAUUGGAAACGAUAGCUAAUACCGCAUAAUAUUGAUUAUUGCAUGAUAAUUGAUUGAAAGAUGCUAUUGCAUCACUACCAGAUGGACCUGCGUUGUAUUAGCUAGUAGGUGAGGUAACGGCUCACCUAGGCGACGAUACAUAGCCGACCUGAGAGGGUGAUCGGCCACACUGGGACUGAGACACGGCCCAGACUCCUACGGGAGGCAGCAGUAGGGAAUCUUCGGCAAUGGACGAAAGUCUGACCGAGCAACGCCGCGUGAGUGAAGAAGGUUUUCGAAUCGUAAAGCUCUGUUGUAAGAGAAGAACGGGUGUGAGAGUGGAAAGUUCACACUGUGACGGUAUCUUACCAGAAAGGGACGGCUAACUACGUG
rnacentral:rRNA from 1 species